rnacentral:rRNA from 1 species
AGUAAUACAUCGGAACGUGUCUUCUAGUGGGGGAUAACUGCCCGAAAGGGCAGCUAAUACCGCAUGAGACCUGAGGGUGAGAGCGGGGGAUCGCAAGACCUCGCGCUGGAAGAGCGGCCGAUGUCCGAUUAGCUAGUUGGUGAGGUAAAGGCUCACCAAGGCGACGAUCGGUAGCUGGUCUGAGAGGACGACCAGCCACACUGGGACUGAGACACGGCCCAG